rnacentral:rRNA from 1 species
AUGAAAAGCAAUAGCUGAUUGCAUUUAAAUGUAGUUACUACUUGGUAGUUUAAAUUUCUAGGUAGAAUUAUGAUGAUGACAUUAUCUAUCUAUUAGUCUUGACCAAAUUACGUGCCAGCAGUCGCGGUAAUACGUAGAAGACAAGUGUUAUUCAUCUUUAUUAGGUUUAAAGGGUACCAAGACGGUUAAUAAAGCCCAAAAGAAAUGAAUACGGGGGACACAUUAACUAGAGUUAUAUGAAAGGAAGCUCUAAGGUACUGUUGAGUGGAGAGAUGAAAUUUUUUGAUACCAGAUUAAGGCACAGAUUUAUGCGAAGGCAUCUUCUUAUGUAAUAACUGACGUUGUAGGACGAAGGCUUAGGAAGUGAACAGGAUUAGGUACCCCAGUAAUCUAGGCAGAAAAUGAUGAAUGUCAUAGGUUCAAUGUCUAUAAAUGAAAGUGUAAGCAUUCCACCUCAAGAGUAAUUUGGCAACAUUGGAACUGAAAUCAUUAGACCGUUUCUGAAACCAGUAGUGAAGUAUGUUGUUUAAUUAGAUGAUACACAAAAACCUUACCACAAUUUGAAUAUAUAUAAAAUAUAUUUACAAGCGCUGCACGGCUGUCUACAGUUAAUGUCGUGAGACUUUGGUUAACUCCAUUAAAUUGACGAAAACCCUAAUUUUAUUUAUAAAUAUAAUUAACAUUGUUAUAUUUGAUGUUUAAGAGGGAACA